rnacentral:rRNA from 1 species
UACAGAGGGUGCGAGCGUUAAUCGGAAUUACUGGGCGUAAAGCGUGCGUAGACGGUUCUGUAAGUCGGAUGUGAAAUCCCCGGGCUCAACCUGGGAAUUGCAUUCGAGACUGCAAAGCUAGGGUGCGGAAGAGGGAAGCGGAAUUUCCGGUGUAGCGGUGAAAUGCGUAGAUAUCGGAAGGAACAUCAGUGGCGAAAGCGGCUUCCUGGUCCAGCACCGACGUUCAGGCACGAAAGCGUGGGGAGCAAACAGG